rnacentral:rRNA from 1 species
GAUGAACGCUGGCGGCGUGCCUAACACAUGCAAGUCGAGCGAACAGACGAGGAUCUUGCUCCUCUGACGUUAGCGGCGGACGGGUGAUUAACACGUGGAUAACCUACCUAUAAGACUGGGAUAACUUCGGGAAACCUGAGCCAACACCGGACAAUAUAUUGAACCGCGUGGUCCAAUAGGGAAAGCCGGUUUUGCUGUCACUUAUAGAUAGAUCCGCGCCGCAUUAGCUAGUUGGUAAGGUAACGGCUUACCAAGGCGACGAUGCGUAGCCGACCUGAGAGGGUGAUCGGCCACACUGGAACUGAGACACGGUCCAGACUCCUACGGGAGGCAGCAGUAGGGAAUCUUGGGCAAUGGGCGAAAGCCUGACGGAGCCACGCCGCGUGAGGGAUGAAGGUCUUCGGGUCGUAAAACGCUGUUGUUAGGGAAGAACAAAUGUGUAAGUAUCUCUGCAGGUCUUGACGGUACCUAAAGAAAAAGCAACGGCUAACUACGUG